rnacentral:rRNA from 1 species
AUUGAACGCUGGCGGCAGGCCUAACACAUGCAAGUCGAGCGAGCGGCGGACGGGUGAGUAAUGUAUGGGGACUGCCCGAUAGAGGGGGAUAACUACUGGAAACGGUAGCUAAUACCGCAUACUAUCGGAUAACCCAUAUGGGAUUAGCUAGUAGGUGAGGUAAUGGCUCACCUAGGCGACGAUCCCUAGCUGGUCUGCGAGGAUGAUCAGCCACACUGGGACUGAGACAAGGCCCAGACUCCUACGGAGGCAGCAGGGGGGAAGAUUGCACAAUGGGCGAAAGCCUGAGGCAGCAAUGCCGCGUGUAGGAAGAAGGCCUUAGGGUUGUAAAGUACUUUCAGUCGGGAGGCGUUACCGACAGAAGAAGCAACGGCUAACUCCGUGCCAGCAGCCGCGGUAAUUC